rnacentral:rRNA from 1 species
UACGAAGGGUGCAAGCGUUACUCGGAAUCACUGGGCGUAAAGCGUGCGUAGGCGGUUCGUUAAGUCUGUUGUGAAAGCCCUGGGCUCAACCUGGGAACUGCAGUGGAUACUGGCGAGCUAGAGUACGGUAGAGGAAGGUGGAAUUCCCGGUGUAGCGGUGAAAUGCGUAGAGAUCGGGAGGAACACCAGUGGCGAAGGCGACCACCUGGACUGAUACUGACACUGAGGUGCGAAAGCGUGGGGAGCAAACAGG